GUAUUUGAUUGCGUUUUGAACAUUCUAUGACACAUUCAGAGUAUAUGAUACAUAAGCCCGAAGGCCUACGGUGGGUUCACAGGUGUGUUGUGGAUUUAAGAGCUCAGGCGUGCACAUGCCUCUUUCGAGGCCAGCGACAACCCUCGCUUAUAAUUCAAUAAUGAUCCUUCCGCAGGUUCACCUACGGAAA
rnacentral:misc_RNA from 1 species